rnacentral:lncRNA from 1 species
AAAAAAACUCCUUGGAGGAAAAAAAACAACUCUCAAUCAAUGUCCAUCUUAAGCUAUUCAUGUUUUCUCAUAAACAUUUACAGGAAUCAGAAAACUAUGCACCAUAAAACUUAUUGGACUAUCAUGAAAACGCUUAGGGCUUGUUCGGUUAGCUCUCAAUCCAUGUGGAUUGAGUGAGAUUGAGUGGGUUUAAAUCCCGAGUAAGUCAAACUUCUUCUUAAAUUUUUCCAAUCCAAUCCAAUCCAUGGGUAACGGGAUUAACCGAACAAGCCCUUAAUAGGAUACACACAUAACGGGCUACCUGAGGUUUCACAAGCUAAUGCUCUGCUCAUCUUAUCAACUAGCAGAGCACAAAGAUAUGUAAAUAUUUUAGACAUCUUCCUCCUUAAUUGCUGUAAUACCCAAAAAUGUAAGAUAAAAGCAUAGUUGAGAUACAUACAUGGUCUUUGCUUAUGUUUAUUGUAACAUGUGAACCAACACCUCAAAAGUCAUUAAUUAAUUAGUGACACUUAAAGUAAUUUGUGCAUCAUGCUGUGAUUUCUUUGUUUGUGCAUUCACUCAUAAAGAUAAUGAUAAAAGAAAUAUGCAAAUGGUAAAAUCAAUAAAAUAUAAUUAUGUUAAUGUUGUGAAUUGAGACUUAAUUUACAAUUCUAGAAAUUGGAGAAGUAAAGGAAAACUACUAUACAAAAUAAAACAAAAUAUGGGAUAAAUGAAACCUUGCCAUGAUGGUUUGACCAAACUACACAAUUAAAAUGGGUUCAAAUUCCCAAAUAGGUUUGAAUUCAAAUUUGGAUUUAAAGGAAUUAAGGAUAAAAGAAAACAGAAAAUAAAAUCCAAAAAAAAAGAAAAAGGGAAAACAUGGCAACUGGGCUCACUGCUGGGAUUUCGGCCCACCUAGUGAUUUCCUCGCGCCAGCCCGCUACACCGAAUCCGUGAGUGCGCCGACAGGUGGGGCCACGUUGUCAUCUCUCUCCCUCGCAACCGAGCGCGAAGUCUUCGCCGCAACGACCGCCGCGAGAACGCCGGAGCUGCUGGUGGCCGAACCCUCCGAACCGCGCGGCGUACGACUCGGUACUACGCCCUGCUCACCAUUUAAUAGUCGGGUCUUUCCCCUCCUCGCGACACCAGCCAUAUACCCGCCACCGCCGUGCCGCGGAGGUAAACCAGCCGCCGUUGGUGAUUCUCGUCACUGUGUGGUUUCCGUCCUCGGCGGGGGGCCGAGUAGGAUCGUAACCGUCCAGGGAAGCCGGUCGCGCGUUCAAUUGGAGUUUUGUGUCAUUGUGGUGUGCGAAUUGCUCGCCGCUGUGACCACUGCAGGCGAGUUCCGCCCCUCCCCGUGGGCGAGCGUCUCCUUACCUCGGCCGACCAUUGGUGAGUCUCCACCGUGUCCGUUCCUCCUUCCUCCGAGUUAUGCUCUAGCGAAUUGCAGAAUGGUGUAGCUAAGCUUCUAGGUCCGCUGCCCGUCCAUGGUGCCACCGCAGCGCGCCAUGUACCGAGUCCAGCGCUUGCCGUCGACCAAAAUUGGUUGGGGGAUUAAGUUUAGGGAGGCAUCAAUCGUGUGUAGUGCGAGUUAAUUGGCCAAAUGGUGCUCGGGUUGGCCGAAUUCGAAACUCCGGCGAUGCUCCGCCGAGUGGGUGGUAUGCGCCGCCGUCUCGGGGUAGGAGGGGGGGGCUGUCCGGGCGCCGUUGGAUGCAAGGCGAACGGCUCUGAUUAGAUCGGCGCUAGCGUUUCACCUCGGGUCAAUCUGAGUCGUUGAUCUCGCAUCGUGCGGUUAGGGCGUGAUCUCGGGAUAUUUAAAUCCGAACCACCGGUCCUUGAUCCAACGGCUAGCGUAGCGGGCAGGUUCGGUUUGAUGAUAGGUUCAUCGGUGCCGUUCGGAUCUAAUCCAACGGCCCAUAUCUAACGAUACCCUUCGCGGGUCAACUUUACUAAAGAGACCCUAUAGUUUUAAUUAUUCAACCCGCCGUCCUCUCCACUGUUUCCUGAGUCUUAGGAGUUUUACCCCGUAGCCCCUGACUUUUCUAGAAAUCGAGGCCCAGUCCAGAGAUGUUUAAAAACAGAGAAAUAAUAUUAGAAAUUCAUUUUUAAUACAAAAACAAAUCUAGAAACUUGUAAAAUUCAUAGAAAUUCCAUUUUUGGUCCAAAUUGAACCAUUCCAACUUCUAAAAUUUUGUAAUAUUGUUCUCUAUCAUUUAGUGUCUCUGUUUGGUCAUGAAAGCAGUAAGAAAAUUAAUUUAUCAUUUAAUAUUAUUUCAAGCACAUUAAAUCUUAGGAAAUUCAUAACUUAAAAUCUAUAACUCCAAAAUUAAUAAUUCCAGUUCCAAUGAUCUCAUUUUUAUGUGUAGAUUUUUACUGUAUAUUUUGUUUGCAUGUUUUAUGUGAUGUUAAUUUAUGCUAUACUAUGUAUGUAUUGUGUUGAUACGAGUAGACGAGCAAGCCACUGUGGAUUCUGAGGUUCAGCAAGUAGAGGUAGCUGAGCAGGAGCUCAUUGAAGGCAGUUGUGCCCUUGAUCACUUCUUUUACCCACUCAUGUUCUAAUUAAUCAUAAUGAUCUGCAUAGGUUAAUUUGAUGGGACCUAAUAGGUUACCCUAGUUUGUCUAUCUUUAUGCCUUGUUUACCACUAAACUUUCUAGGUAGUACUUGCUAGUGCUAUAUGUGGAUUUGGGCAUUGAGAUACAUAUUAUUCAUACUUUUGUUAUCAGUUGCUAUUUACUGUUCAUGAUAAGAUCAUUAUGUUAAUUGGAACAUGGAGAACCACUCGGGAAAACAGUGCUACCACAAGGGUUUAAUGGGACGCCCUUGGCCGAUUAAUUAGGAAAGCUAGUGGAAGACUACCUUACCCGAAAGGGGCAAGGGCAGUAGGGGAGUGGUCAGUGUAGGGAGGCCCUCAGGAGGAUUUUGCUGCGAUGGCGGUCCUGCAAGGGAUUCCUGCAUUGGAGCUUCCUAUAAACUGUAGCGGGUUUUCUGAAGCUAGUGGAACUUUGUAAAGGCCUCGUAGUGUUACCCUGCCUCGCCUCCUCGGUAGAGGUGUAUGGGAAGUCGCGAUCCCUUGGCAGAUGAGUAACAUGACUUGUGGGUAAAGAUGUGCAACCUCUGCAGAGUGUAAAACUGGUAUACUAGCCGUGCUCACGGUCAUGAGCAGCUCGGACACUCACAUGAUUAAAUUAUGGAACUAAAUUCAAUUUGUCAUAUGCAUUGCAUUGCAGGUGAGGUUGUUACUUUUGUUCUUCUAUUUAAUUGGGUUGGUAUUUACUUGUACUUAGUAACUGCUAAUAAAAUUUUGACCAACUUUAAAAGCAAUGCUCAGCUCUAACCAUCCUCUUUGGUAAGCCUUACACUUCACUGGAGCUCCCACCUUUGGCGAGUUCAUGCACAUUAUUCCCCACAACUUGUUGAGCUAUGAACGUAUGUGAGCUCACUCUUGCUGUCUCACACCCCCCCACAGGUCAAGAGCAGGUACCACAGGAUGAGGCACAUGAAGGAUGCUUUGAUGUGUUCGUGAGAGGUCUAGGCCGUCGUCUCCCAGUCAACUUUGGGUUGCUGGACCGUUGUCUCCUUAUAAUGUAAUUAAUUAAUUAUUUUGUAUAGAACUCCUAUUAUAUAGUAAAUAUGUGACAUUCGAUCAUGUGCCAUGAUUUAUCAUAUGUGUGAGACUUGGUCCCAGCACACCUGGUGAUUAUGUUCGCGCCUGGGUCUUGGUGCCCCGAAACCCGGGUGUUACAGAAGUGGUAUCAGAGGAAUGUUGACGGUAGGACGAAACCUAGAUAGAACUGGACAACCAUUAUCUACUUUUCUUUGCUACUCUGAUUCUUUUCUAAACUUUUCUUAAUCUUUUCUCAUCUAUUUCCGCUUUACUCUGAUUAUUCUUACCUCUUUAUUUCUAAAGACAAAUGUGGAUUUCACACUUUGAAAUCAUGUGCCUAAAGUGACCUUUAGGAAAAGGAGACCCACUCUUAAGAAUAAAAACAAAACUAUUUUUAUAAGUUAUCUAUAUGCUUGAAUGCUUGUUCUUAUGAUAUUUGUCUGAUUUGGAUCUUUGAUUGAGUGUGAUGAGUUGUGGAGUAAUGUCCACAAUUACAUCUGCAUAUACAUAUAGGCAUAAAUAGAAUUCAUAAGGUAACUAGACAACUUAGAUUAUCCUCCAUAAAAGUGUACCUAUUUCAUAUAUAUCCCUCUUAUCUUAAAAGACUCUCUCUUAAUAAGAUCCAUCUUGUCUUAAAAGAUACUCUCUUACAUUAAUAGAUUCAUCUCGUCUCAAAAAGAUUUUCAUCUGAUCCCAAUAGAUCUAACUGACCUCAAAAGAUUCUACCUUAUCCUAAUGGAUUCAUCUUGCCCUAAUAAGCAUAUUUAUCCCACACUAGUGUAACCACCAUGACCUAAUCCAAAAUAAUGAGAUCUUAACUAGUUUAAUCUAGUCGUACCAACCUAAUCUAGAUUCUAUCUAAUCUAUUAUGAUCUAAUCUAGUGUAAGUUACUUAAUGUUGGUACAAAGGAUAAGGCCAUACUCCUAAUUCACUUAAGACUAAAUUGGUGACUUAAAUCAACUCGGCUAUACCCAACAACUUGACCUACAUAACAGAUCUAUCUUAACCUCUUGUCCCAAACCCAGAUGGAGACACCAAGGAGCAAGAAGGAGGAGAUCAACCUCGACAUGGAAGAAUAGGAGUCAAAUCAGAUCUCGAGAUGAUUCAAAUUUACCACCUUGGACAGAGUCUUCCCUUACCAAGUUCUUCUUACCAUCAGCUAACCUCACUCUGACCAUCUCUCUUCUUACCUGUGUGUCUAAACAUAGAAGAUACCCAUGCAUUUCUAAGUACUUGCUAAAUAGUAUUUUAAAAAGAGAAAGAGAGAGACUCUUAAUUUUUGAAUCAAUUAGAAACUACAAUCUCAAUUAUAAACCAACCUCGGUAUAACCCUUCUGCUUACUAAUCUCGAGGACGAGAUUAUUUUUAAGGGGGGUAGGCUUUGUAAUACCCAAAAAUGUAAGAUAAAAGCAUAGUUGAGAUACAUACAUUGUCUUUGCCUAUGUUUAUUGUAACAUGUGAACCAACACCUCAAAAGUCAUUAAUUAAUUAGUGACACUUAAAGUAAUUUGUGCAUCAUGCUGUGAUUUCUUUGUUUGUGCAUUCACUCAUAAAGAUAAUGAUAAAAGAAAUAUGCAAAUGGUAAAAUCAAUAAAAUAUAAUUAUGUUAAUGUUGUGAAUUGAGACUUAAUUUACAAUUCUAGAAAUUGGAGAAGUAAAGGAAAACUACUAUACAAAAUAAAACAAAAUAUGGGAUAAAUGAAACCUUGCCAUGAUGGUUUGACCAAACUACACAAUUAAAAUGGGUUCAAAUUCCCAAAUAGGUUUGAAUUCAAAUUUGGAUUUAAAGGAAUUAAGGAUAAAAGAAAACAGAAAAUAAAAUCCAAAAAAA